rnacentral:rRNA from 1 species
UACGGAGGAUCCAAGCGUUAUCCGGAUUUAUUGGGUUUAAAGGGUGCGUAGGCGGCCUAUUAAGUCAGGGGUGAAAGACGGUAGCUUAACUAUCGCAGUGCCUUUGAUACUGAUGGGCUUGAAUGAACUAGAGGUAGGCGGAAUGUGACAAGUAGCGGUGAAAUGCAUAGAUAUGUCACAGAACACCAAUUGCGAAGGCAGCUUACUAUGGUGUCAUUGACGCUGAGGCACGAAAGCGUGGGGAUCAAACAGG